AACGAACGCUGGCGGCAUGCCUAACACAUGCAAGUCGAACGAGACCUUCGGGUCUAGUGGCGCACGGGUGCGUAACGCGUGGGAACCUGCCCUUAGGUUCGGAAUAACUCCCCGAAAGGGGUGCUAAUACCGGAUAAUGUCUUCGGACCAAAGAUUUAUCGCCUUUGGAUGGGCCCGCGUUGGAUUAGCUAGUUGGUAGGGUAAAAGCCUACCAAGGCGACGAUCCAUAGCUGGUCUGAGAGGAUGAUCAGCCACACUGGGACUGAGACACGGCCCAGACUCCUACGGGAGGCAGCAGUGGGGAAGAUUUGACAAUGGGCGAAAGCCUGAUCCAGCACUGCCGCGUGAGUGAUGAAGGCCUUAGGGUUGUAAAGCUCUUUUACCCGGGAUGAUAAUGACAGUACCGGGAGAAUAAGCUCCGGCUAACUCCGU
rnacentral:rRNA from 1 species